rnacentral:misc_RNA from 1 species
GGAAGUAAAAGUCAUAACAAGGUUUCCGUAGGUGAGCCUGCGGAAGGAUCAUUCAUAAUAAGUGUUUUACUGCACUUUUUAAAAAUAGUACUCACCUUGUGUGCAAUGUUGUGUUUCUUUUCGGAGAAACACCUACACCAACCUAUAACCUUGAACCACUUUGUCUGAAAAACUAUUAUGAAUACUUAAUUCAAAAUACAACUUUCAACAACGGAUCUCUUGGCUCUC